rfam:Roseburia sp. CAG:45 genomic scaffold, scf25
UUUUAAGGGCUGUUAGGGGCACUUGAAAUUUCGUCUGGCAUCCGGCAACGCUGGCACAGGGAAGUGCCAGCGAGGCGCAUAUGAACAUGGAUGUGAAUUUGCGCCGGUUGCCAGGCUUAUUCAGUUAUAGGUUGAAAUUCUUAGUGCCCCUUGCAGACAUUAUUC